GGACUUGCUUUGCCAGUGUGUAUAUUAAAUUUAGAUCAGUAUACAGAUUAGCAUGACCUUUGGGUAAGGAUGAAAUGCAAAUUUGUGAAGUAUUUUUCUUUUGC
rnacentral:snRNA from 1 species